rnacentral:rRNA from 1 species
AUACGUAGGUGACAAGCGUUAUCCGGAUUUACUGGGUGUAAAGGGCGUGUAGGCGGUUUAGCAAGCCAGAAGUGAAAUUCCCGGGCUUAACUUGGGCGCUGCUUCUGAAACUGCUUUACUUGAGCGCUGGAGAGGAUAGUGGAAUUCCUAGUGUAGCGGUAAAAUGCGCAGAUAUUUGGAGGAACACCGGUGGCGAAGGCGGCUAUCUGGACAGUAACUGACGCUGAGGCGCGAAAGCACGGGGAGCAAACAGGAUUAGAUACCCUGGUAGUCCGUGCCGUAAACGAUGAAUGCUGGGUGUAGGGGGUAUCGACUCCCUCUGUGCCGCAGUUAACACAAUAAGUAUUCCGCUUGGGGAGUACGGCCGCAAGGUUGAAACUCAAAUGAAUUGGCGGGG